rnacentral:lncRNA from 1 species
UAAAAGGAAACGUAGGGAUUUAUUAGUGAUAUAGUUUGGAUAUUUGUCCCCACACAAAUCUCAAGUUGAAAUGUAAUCCCCAGUGUUGGAGGUGGGGACUAGUGGGAGGUAUUUUGGUCAUAGAGGCCAAUGUUUCAUGGCUGGGUGCUGUCCUUGCAAUAGUGAGUACCUACGAGAUCUGGUUAGGUUUUGAAAAACAUUUUCCUAAAAAUGCAUCAACCUGUUUGCUUUUGGUUGCUCUCUUUUUUAAAAGUCACUCUGAGAGAUUUGGGGAAGGGGCGUCUAAAUUGCUCAGACUCUGAUUUGGGGAUCUAGGAGUCUGGGACAAAAUUUUUGAGAUGGAGUCUCACUCUGUUGCCCAGGUUGGAGUGCAAUGGCGCAAUCUUGGCUCACUGCAACCUCAGCAUCCCAGGUUCAAAUGAUUCUCCUGCCUCAGCCUAGAAGAUUAGGAGAUGAAUUUGUUUUGAAAGACAGUACAGAGUUAGCCUUGACUGCAAAUUGGACAUUUUAUUGCAUUUGUCUGAUGGAUAAUCACAGAUAAAGACUUUGAUCUUUAUCCCCAUGGCAGCAAUAAGAAAAAGGCAGGAACUCUGUGUACUAUCUUUUAUUUCUUUUCUCUGCAGUUCUGGGAAAAUUGAGCCUAUUUAAAUGCUCAGA